rnacentral:rRNA from 1 species
UUGACGGGACCCGCACAAGCGGUGGAUGAUGUGUUUAAUUCGAUGCAACGCGAAAACCUUACCCACCUUUGACAUGUACGGAAUCCUUUAGAGAUAGAGGAGUGCUCGAAAGAGAGCCGUAACACAGGUGCUGCAUGGCUGUCGUCAGCUCGUGUCGUGAGAUGUUGGGUUAAGUCCCGCAACGAGCGCAACCCUUGUCAUUAGUUGCUACAUUCAGUUGGGCACUCUAAUGAGACUGCCGGUGACAAACCGGAGGAAGGUGGGGAUGACGUCAAGUCCUCAUGGCCCUUAUAGGUGGGGCUACACACGUCAUACAAUGGAUGGUACAAAGGGUCGCCAACCCGCGAGGGGGAGCCAAUCCCAUAAAGCCAUUCGUAGUCCGGACCGCAGUCUGCAACUCGACUGCGUGAAGUCGGAAUCGCUAGUAAUCGUGGAUCAGAAUGUCACGGUGAAUACGUUCCCGGGUCUU